AUACAAAGUUUAUUUGAAGACAUGAUACAAUUUACUCUAUAUCCAACAACAGCUGAGUAUACUGAGGUAGCCAGAGCUAGUUACCAAGUUUAAGAUCUUAGAAGAUAAAUCUGGAAAUUCAACAGGACAUGAAAAUACGUCAGGAGAAAACCAAGCCAGCAUCAAGCAUGUAACAGAUUUAAUGGACCUUUCAAAGAAGUGUAACCCAGACCAGAACAUUA